rnacentral:rRNA from 1 species
UGCAGGCUGCAACUCGCCUGCAUGAAGUUGGAAUUGCUAGUAAUCGCGAAUCAGAAUGUCGCGGUGAAUACGUUCCCGGGCCCUUGUACACACCGCCCGUCACACCAUGAGAGUCGAUAACACCCCGAAGCCUGUGAGCUAACCGUAAGGAGGCAGCAGUCGGAGGUGGGGGUUGAUGAUUGGGGUGAAGUCGUAACAAGGUAAC